GCCUGGGUGGCUCAGUCGGUUAAGCAUCUGACUUCGGCUCAGGUCGUGAUCUCGUGGUUCGUGGGCUCGAGCCCCAUGUCAGGCU
rfam:Felis catus isolate Cinnamon breed Abyssinian chromosome A3, whole genome shotgun sequence.